GUUAAGCAGAGACAACGAUAAAUGUUAUGUUUUUGCAAGGCAGAGGAGGGGUCUAAAAAAAUUCUACCCAUCAACCGUUCCUCCUGCUUCUCAAUCCAGAUGAAUGACUCCAUGCCUCGUGCUGCUGUGACAAAUAGGCUACUACAUCAAAUGGUUCUUCGUCUUUUUUUUAUAGGUUCUUCAUCUACAGUGGAUGUGGAAUAUUUAUGAGUUUAAAUGUUGUUUGUUCAUGUUUUAUCAAUAAUAAAAGGCAUUCCUAUA